rnacentral:tRNA from 1 species
UCCCUAGUAGCUCAGUGGUAGAGCAUCCUGUAAUUCGUAUAUAUUGAUGUAAUAUUCGUAUUACUAUAUAUUCGUAUAUGUUAGGGGAGGUCGUCGGUUCAAAUCCGAAAUAGGGAA